UACGGGAGCUGGACCUCGUCCCCGACUCCGGCUGCAGGUAGACUUCAUCCGGACUCCUACGGGAGCCGGACUUCCACGGGAGCCGGACUUCGCCCACGACUCCGGCUGCAGGCAGACUUCGUCCGGACUCCUACGGGAGCCGGACUCCGCCCAUGACUCCAAUUACAGGUAGACUUCGUUUGGACUCUUACGGGAGCCGAACUUCGUCCCCAACUCCAAUUGCAGAUAGACUUCACCUAGACUCCUAGGGGAGUCGGACUGCAUCCCUGGCUUC
rnacentral:lncRNA from 1 species